CUGCUCCUGAGCCAGCAGGGGGUAUGCGGGAUGUGAGAUGCUGACAAGUUUCCUGGUUCCCCUAACAGUAUGCUCCCCUGCGGACAUCCUUCCUGGAUCCACAAGCUGAGUCUGUCCCUGCCCUUCACUUUGGGCAGACUGUGGAUAAGUCUCCCUUUCUACUGAUGGAACCCCUGUCUCUCCCUCAAUUUCACUCCAUAUUCUCACACAAACAGAACCUUGG